rnacentral:rRNA from 1 species
UACGUAGGGACCAAGCGUUGUUCGGAUUCAUUGGGCGUAAAGGGUGCGUAGGCGGCGCGGUAAGUCGGGUGUGAAAUCUCGGGGCUUAACUCCGAAACUGCAUUCGAUACUACCGUGCUUGAGGACUGGAGAGGAGACUGGAAUUUACGGUGUAGCGGUGAAAUGCGUAGAUAUCGUAAGGAAGACCAGUGGCGAAGGCGGGUCUCUGGACAGUUCCUGACGCUGAGGCACGAAGGCCAGGGGAGCAAACGGG